UUUAAAUGUAAAUUAUAUAAACUUGAGUAGUAUUAGUUAUGUUCUUGAAACUCAAAGAAUUUGGCGGUGUUUUAGUCUGUUCAGAGGAACCUGUCCCGUAAUCGAUAUUCCACGUUAAACCUUACUUAUUUUUGUUACCAGCUUGUAUACCGCCGUCGUCAGAAUGUCCUAAGAAGGGUUUAAUUUUCUUAAAUUUUUAUUAAAAAUGAUGUCAGGUCAAGGUGUAGCUUACGAAUAAGUGGUGAUGGGUUACAAUAAACAUAUUUAUAACGGAUAAAAUUUUGAAAUAAAUUUUUGAAGGUGGAUUUGACGGUAAUUAACUUAAUUAAAUUAAUUUGAUUUUAGCUCUAAAACAUGC
rnacentral:rRNA from 1 species